rnacentral:rRNA from 1 species
UACGUAGGUGGCGAGCGUUGUCCGGAUUUACUGGGCGUAAAGAGCGCGCAGGCGGUGCGAUCAGUCGAAUGUGAAAGCCCCCGGCUCAACUGGGGAGGGUCAUUCGAUACUGUCGGACUCGAAGGCAGGAGAGGGAAGCGGAAUUCCCGGUGUAGUGGUGAAAUGCGUAGAUAUCGGGAGGAACACCAGUGGCGAAGGCGGCUUCCUGGCCUGUUCUUGACGCUGAGGCGCGAAAGCUAGGGGAGCAAACGGG